rnacentral:rRNA from 1 species
AGGGUUCGAUUCUGGCUCAGGAUGAACGCUAGCGACAGGCCUAACACAUGCAAGUCGAGGGGCAGCGCGGGUAGCAAUACCUGGCGGCGACCGGCGCGACGGGUGCGUAACAGGUGUGCAAUCUGUCCAUAAUCGGGGGAAUAGCCCGGCGGAAGUUGGAUUAAUGCUCCAUGUGAAACGAAGCCGCAUGACUUUGUUUUAAAACGCGAGGAUUAUGGAUGAGCACGCUUCUGAUUAGGUAGUUGGUGAGGUAACGGCUCACCAAGCCGACGAUCAGUAGGGGUUCUGAGAGGAAGGUCCCCCACAUUGGAACUGAGACACGGUCCAAACUCCUACGGGAGGCAGCAGUGAGGAAUAUUGGUCAAUGGGCGGAAGCCUGAACCAGCCAAGUCGCGUGAAGGAAUGAAGGUUCUAUGGAUUGUAAACUUCUUUUAUUCGAGGGUAAAGGGCAUUACGUGUAAUGUUUUGCAAGUAUCGAAUGAAUAAGCAUCGGCUAACUCCGUGCCAGCCGCAGC